UGGGGAAUAUUGCACAAUGGACGGAAGUCUGAUGCAGCAACGCCGCGUGCGGGAUGACGGCCUUCGGGUUGUAAACCGCUUUUUCUCAUGACGAAGUUUUUUGACGGUAGUGGGGGAAGAAGCACCGGCUAACUACGUGUCAGCAGCCGCGGUGAUACGUAGGGUGCGAGCGUUGUCCGGAAUUAUUGGGCGUAAAGAGCUUGUAGGCGGUUUGUCGCGUCGAUAGUGCAAACUCAGUGCUUAACGCUGAGCCUGCUGUUGAUACGGGCAGACUAGAGGAAGGUAGGGGAGAAUGGAAUUCCCGGUGGAGCGGUGGAAUGCGCAGAUAUCGGGAGGAACACCGGUGGCGAAGGCGGUUCUCUGGGCCUUUCCUGACGCUGAGAAGCGAAAGCGUGGGGAGCGAACAGG
rnacentral:rRNA from 1 species